rnacentral:rRNA from 1 species
UACGGAGGGGGCUAGCGUUGUUCGGAAUUACUGGGCGUAAAGCGCACGUAGGCGGCUUUGUAAGUUAGAGGUGAAAGCCCGGAGCUCAACUUCGGAAUUGCCUUUAAGACUGCAUCGCUUGAAUCAUGGAGAGGUCAGUGGAAUUCCGAGUGUAGAGGUGAAAUUCGUAGAUAUGCGGAGGAACACCGAUGGCGAAGGCAAUCCCCUGGGCCUGCACUGACGCUCAUGCACGAAAGCGUGGGGAGCAAACAGG